AUGAACUUAUACUUUGCAACUUUUUGUUGCGUUGCCUAGCAACAAGCUAGCGGUACGCCAGACGCGCGUGCAAACGUCAUGCGCCAUACAAGCCGCAGGAGUGAGCGAGGCCGGCUGCGCAUGUGAAGCUCGCGCGCUCGGCGACCCGUCUCUUUUGGAUGUAGCCAGUUUUUUGGGCUCCCGGCGUUCUCUUGUGUUCCGUCUGCAUUUCGACACGGCACCGCUGCACUACUGGACUACAGCAAGCUGAUGGCAUCCGGUGGAGCAUCGUACGGCAACGACUGCUGGUUACCUGGCGCCACAACUUUGGAUGAAUGCAGAAGAAGCCCGGAACGAGCAUUUAUAUAGAGCAAAAUAAACUUUUCAUCAUUUCAGAA
rnacentral:lncRNA from 1 species